CCUUCGAUAGCUCAGUUGGUAGAGCGCAAGACUGUAAUUGGAUAUCUCCUGUUGAUCUUGAUGUCACCUGUUCGAUCCAGGUUCGAAGGA